CUGGGGUGAAGUCGUAACAAGGUAGCGCUAGGGGAACCUGGCGCUGGAUCACCUCCUUAAACGAUGAU
rnacentral:rRNA from 2 species